rnacentral:sRNA from 1 species
AGAUUAUAUUUUAGUGAACAGCUCUUUAAUUUUAUAGGCAGAGCACUCAAUCGGUGUCAUUGAGCAAAAUUAUUAAUGCUUAUUUAUGCUUCUUGAAUUAAGCUGCUUUUUGGUAAUUAUUCAUAAAGUCACUGCCUUUUUCAGAAGAAUUAAACUCACUAGUAGUUAGAAACAUGGAAUUUAGCAUAUAUGAUUUUAUGUGCAUAUUGAGAUUGUAGUCCCCCUUGCUAAAUUGAUGUGGAUCUAUAACUGUAAGGAAGCUUAUUACUUUAUGGUUUAAUAUCCAGCACAAAGCGUGUAAAUAAAAUAAAUAGCAUGUUGUCUUUAUCUUCAAAGGCAUUAUAUUGUACUUCUAGCAAGUGCACCAACAGAAAAACAACGCCUGGAAUGGGUGGGCUUGGUGGAAUCAAAAAUCCGAAUCCUGGUUGGAAGCUUGGAGAAGAAUGAAUUUAUUACACUGGCUCAUGUGAAUCCCCAGUCAUUUCCAGCACCCAAAGAAAAUCCCGACAAGGAAGAAUUUCGCACGAUGUGGGUGAUUGGGUUAGUGUUUAAAAAAACAGAAAACUCUGAAAACCUCAGUGUUGAUCUCACCUAUGAUAUUCAGUCUUUCACAGAUACAGUUUAUAGGCAAGCAAUAAACAGCAAGAUGUUUGAGGUGGAUAUGAAAAUUGCUGCAAUGCAUGUAAAAAGAAAGCAACUCCAUCAACUACUACCUAAUCAUGUGCUUCAGAAAAAGAAAAAGCAUUCAACAGAAGGUGUCAAAUUGACAGCUCUCAAUGACAGCAGCCUCGACUUGUCUAUGGACA